rnacentral:rRNA from 1 species
UACAGGGGGGGCAAGCGUUGUUCGGAAUUACUGGGCGUAAAGGGCUCGUAGGCGGCCAACUAAGUCACACGUGAAAUCCCCAGCUUAACCUGGGAACUGCGUGUGAUACUGGAUGGCUUGAAUUCGGGAGAGGGAUGCAGAAUUCCAGGUGUAGCGGUGAAAUGCGCAGAUAUCGGGAGGAACACCAAUGGCGAAGGCAGCUCGCUGGGACGGUACUGACGCUGAGACGCGAAAAGCGUGGGGAGCAAACAGG